rnacentral:rRNA from 1 species
AACGAACGCUGGCGGCAGGCUUAACACAUGCAAGUCGAGCGCCCCGCAAGGGGAGCGGCAGACGGGUGAGUAACGCGUGGGAACGUACCUUUUGGUUCGGAACAACUCCGGGAAGCUGGAGCUAAUACCGGAUAAGCCCUAACGGGGAAAGAUUUAUCGCCGAAAGAUCGGCCCGCGUCUGAUUAGCUAGUUGGUGAGGUAACGGCUCACCAAGGCGACGAUCAGUAGCUGGUCUGAGAGGAUGAUCAGCCACACUGGGACUGAGACACGGCCCAGACUCCUACGGGAGGCAGCAGUGGGGAAUAUUGGACAAUGGGCGCAAGCCUGAUCCAGCCAUGCCGCGUGAGUGAUGAAGGCCUUAGGGUUGUAAAGCUCUUUUGUCCGGGAAGAUAAUGACUGUACCGGAAGAAUAAGCCCCGGCUAACUUCGUG